GUGCUCGCUUUGGCAGCACAUAUACUAAAAUUGAAAUGAUGCAGAUAGAUUAGCAUGGCCCCUUCACAUGUAUGACAUGCAAAUUCGUGAAGCAUUCCAUAUUAAU